rnacentral:rRNA from 1 species
UACAGGGGGUGCAAACGUUGCUCGGAAUUAUUGGGCGUAAAGGGCGCGUAGGCGGCUUGAUGUGUCAAAGGUGAAAUCCCUCGGCUCAACUGAGGAACUGCCUUUGAAACUGUCUGGCUUGAGGCCGGGAGAGGGUAGCGGAAUUCCCAGUGUAGCGGUGAAAUGCGUAGAUACUGGGAGGAACACCGGUGGCGAAGGCGGCUACCUGGACCGGUUCUGACGCUGAUGCGCGAAAGCGUGGGUAGCAAACAGG